CGUCUUAAAACAGGGACAAAAGGAUUUACCUCCUCCAUGUAUUCAGAAAUUUCUUUUACAAUAUGAGCGUUGAGCUUUUGUUUUUCUGCCAUAUUAUGACGCAUUUUUCCGUCAUCGAUGUAAAGUGCCGUAUUAUUAGUGGAAUCGGUAUAGUUGAUAUCAAAUAUUCUGUGAUACACGCGUCCUUGUACUUUAACUAAGGAGGGCCCACUGUCGAAAGUUUUGAACCCCCCUGUCACGCCAAUUGCAGAAAAUGCAAACAGAUUAUUAUAGGAACGACAAUUUUUCUUGAACUCAGGAUUUGAAUAGAAGGCAGCAGUUAAUUGAGGAAUUUCUUUGUCGAUCUUCCCCGCUCUGCAACACCACUUUUCUCUGCUCCGUUCCUCCCAAAAUAACGGGGCAUGACAAUAAGAGCAUUGGAAAUUAGGAUGAUCAGUAAAUUUUGGUGCCCUUAACUUGAUAGAGUAUUUGCUCAAAAUAUUCUCCGUCAGUUCUAAUAUUGGAGACUUUUCUACGUUAGGAUGCGUAUGUGGUUCGCUAUCAUUACCACCCCUGACCAUUUCCGUAGUAAAGCAUGAACGAUCAGCACGCGUUUCGCUACCAUCAAUACCAACACCCACCUCUAUUUCCAUAGCAUCUGUAUGAUCUGUACGUGUUUCACUUUCAAAACGGUGAAUUACAGAAUCCAUUGGUAAAUUUGAUUUUUGCGCCGCUUUUUUUGCCAAGUAACCCAAUUUGUUCGUCGUAGGUAUUAUUACCUCGUCGUUGUCAAUAGCGUCAGUGACCAUUUCCUCAGCAGAGCAUGGGAUAUGUACACGUGCUUCGCUAUCAUCAAUACCAACAGUCACCCCUGCUUCCAUAGCGCAUGAACGAUCUGCAGGUUCCUCACUUUCAAAUAAAUUAUUAGCAGAAUUUACCGGUAAAAUUGAUUUUCGAGCCCUUUUUUUCGCCGAAAAGCCCGCCUCACUGCUUUCUGAACACGAUUUUUUAGAAUUUUUUAGCGCCAAAUACCUAAGCCUGUUGUACUCAGACUUGCGUGCUUUUUUCUCUGCCUCACUUAUUUUUUUACGCCCGAGUGUCUUCGUCGCAGCGAUUACCUCCUCCUGCAAUUCUAAUUUUUCACCUAAAUGUGAAUCUCGCGAAUUUUUUUUCGCUAAAUAUCUUAACCUGUCAUACUCUGCUUUUUUCUUUUUUUUAUCAGCCUCACUCGCCUUUGGGCAACCUUGCUUUUUCCCCCCUACUGUAGAACCUUCAGAGGAGGUAACGUGUAUACAUUGAUUUUGCUUAUCGAUAGAUAGUGUCGUUGUUGUUGUGGGACUGAUUGUUGGAAACGGGAGAAGGCUUUGAGCAGUUAACACGCGAAGGAGAUGCGGACGCAUGCUGUGCAGUUCAAACCUGAGAUCACACGGAUCCUGAUCUAAAAUUAAGGCAGUUGCGAAUGCAAUAGCAUAGAUUCCGCAAUCGAUGGUAUUUGUCUGCUGUUCGACCCUAUGGUAGUUCACAACGAACCCUUGAGGAAACAACUGAUUCAAAAAUAAUCUUUGUUCAAGAGUUAUAUCCCCCCUGUUUAAACUAUCAUAGACAUUUACAGCGUUGUUAAAAAAAUAAAAAGUUACCCAGUGGGAAAUUUCAUUGAUAUUCCCGGUGGGCCUACUACUCAAAAUUUGAAUAAAUUUGCCAUUAUUCAAUUGAGCUGGGCCUAUGAAAUCCCACAAGCCCAUUAAAUUUACAUUCACAGGUCGGAAGUUGGUCUUACGACGCACAAUGUCAAAAAACAAAUUAAUUGUGUCGCCAGACAACACGUCCUGCAAUACCUCAUCAACUGAAGCUGCAUUCAUUAUUUUAUCAAAAAUAUCCUCAAAUAUCCUCAAAGAACAAAGGAUAGAAAAAGAAAUAUCAGAACAGAAAGAAAAAGAAAAGGCAGACAAACGCAGAAGAGAUUCAAGAAAAACACAGUAUAACAGAGAAAAAAAUUCAGAAAAACAACAAAGAAAACGACUCCUUUGCUAAUCUAAGCUCAGCUGCGUGUGAGCAUGAGCACGAUAAAAUGAAAACACCGAGGAGAUUUAGGAAAAACACGGUAUAACAGAGAAAAAAAUUCAGAAAAACAACAAAGAAAACGACUCCUUUGCGGUAAUCUAAGCUCAGCUGCGUGUGAGCAUGAGCACGAUAAAAUAAAAACACCGAAGAGAUUUAGGAAAAACACAGUAGAGAACCAAGGAAAUCAAAGUAGAACAGA